rnacentral:SRP_RNA from 1 species
GCUGGGCGUGGUGGCACACACCUGUAAUCCCAGCUACUCAGGAGGCUGAGGCAGGAGAAUCACUUGAACCUGGGAGGCUGAGGUAGCAGUGAGCCAAGAUCAUGCCACUGUACUCCAGCCUGGGUGACAGAGUGAGAUUCUGUCUAAA